CCCGUGUCCUGAGUUCAAGAAAGGUGCUUGUGCCAAAGGUGAUUCUUGUGAGUAUGCUCAUGGUGUAUUUGAGUCAUGGCUUCAUCCUGCCCAAUAUAGAACCCGUCUCUGCAAGGAUGAGACCGGGUGCUCGAGGAAAGUUUGCUUCUUUGCUCACAAGCAUGAAGAGCUACGCCCAUUGUAUGCAUCCACUGGCUCAGCUAUUCCUUCUCCAAAGGCUACUCCAGUCAGUUCUAUGGACAUGUCAACACCAAGUCCUCUGGCGCUCAGUUCAUCUUCCAUGAUGCUGCCUACUACUACUACUUCAACACCUCCGAUGUCUCCUGCUGCUACGUGCCUCUGCAAGGACGAGACCGGGUGCUCGAGGAAAGUUUGCUUCUUUGCUCACAAGCAUGAAGAGCUGCGUCCGUUGUAUGCAUCCACUGGUUCAGCUAUUCCUUCCCCAAAGGCUACUCCAGUCAGUUCUAUGGACAUGUCAACAUUGAGUCCUCUGGCGCUCGGUUCGUCUUCCAUGAUGCUGCCUACUACUACUACUACUUCAACACCUCCUAUGUCUCCUGCUGCUACGUGUUCGUCUCCAAUGGGCGGAAACAUGUGGCAGGGCAAGGUGAAUCUCACCCCGCCUGCACUACAGCUUCCUGGUAGUAGGCUAAAGACAUCUCUAAACGCCCGAGACUUGGACUUGGACAUGGAAAUGCUUGGCUUGGAAAGCAUCCGCACGCAGCAGCAACUCAGGCAGCAAUUGAUCGAUGAAAUGGCUGGUCUCUCUUCCCCAUCCAAUUGGAAGAACGAUAACAGGAUGGGGGAUUUGAAGCCUACUAAUCUUGAUGAUGUUUUUGGAUCAAUGGAUUCUCAAUUGUUGUCCCAAUUGCAGGGCCUAUCUCCAAGAAUGACAUCAAACACCAGUUCUCAGUUGUAUUCUCCAUCGGUUUCUCAUAUG
rnacentral:lncRNA from 1 species